GUCCAGGGAUGGGAGUCGAACCCACAAUGUUCCGCUUACCGGGCAGAUGCCAUGUCCACUAGGCUACCCUGGA
rnacentral:tRNA from 1 species